rnacentral:rRNA from 1 species
CGGUGGCGAUAGCGGAGGGGAAACACCCGUUCCCAUUCCGAACACGGAAGUUAAGCCCUCCAGCGCCGAUGGUACUGCAUAAGCGGGAGAGUAGGUCGCUGCCGGAAUA